GCCUGAAUAGCUCAGCUGGUAGAGCGCCCGACUUGUAAUCGGACGGUCGCAGGUUCGAAUCCUGUUUCAGGCUCCA
rnacentral:tRNA from 1 species